CUCAAUUCUUCUCCAAAUUUGUCGAGUAAGGCACCCGGGACCAGGCAGGCCCGCAAGAGAGACCUUCAGGAGGUCUAGCUAGCUCGGACCAGGAGCUCUAGCGUGCACAGGAAAUCCACCACCGGGCCAUCUCGCCUUCCUCGCUUCAUUGUUACAAAAGUGUUGGUUGGUAAAAAGGUUCAU